rnacentral:rRNA from 1 species
GAUGAACGCUGGCGGCGUGCCUAAUACAUGCAAGUCGAGCGAACAGACGAGGAGCUUGCUCCUUUGACGUUAGCGGCGGACGGGUGAGUAACACGUGGGUAACCUACCUAUAAGACUGGGAUAACUUCGGGAAACCGGAGCUAAUACCGGAUAAUAUUUCGAACCGCAUGGUUCGAUAGUGAAAGAUGGCUUUGCUAUCACUUGUAGAUGGACCUGCGCCGUAUUAGCUAGUUGGUAAGGUAACGGCUUACCAAGGCAACGAUACGUAGCCGACCUGAGAGGGUGAUCGGCCACACUGGAACUGAGACACGGUCCAGACUCCUACGGGAGGCAGCAGUAGGGAAUCUUCCGCAAUGGGCGAAAGCCUGACGGAGCAACGCCGCGUGAGUGAUGAAGGUCUUCGGAUCGUAAAACUCUGUUAUUAGGGAAGAACAAACGUGUAAGUAACUGUGCACGUCUUGACGGUACCUAAUCAGAAAGCCACGGCUAACUACGUGCCAGCAGCCGCGGUAAUACGUAGGUGGCAAGCGUUAUCCGGAAUUAUUGGGCGUAAAGCGCGCGUAGGCGGUUUUUUAAGUCUGAUGUGAAAGCCCACGGCUCAACCGUGGAGGGUCAUUGGAAACUGGAAAACUUGAGUGCAGAAGAGGAAAGUGGAAUUCCAUGUGUAGCGGUGAAAUGCGCAGAGAUAUGGAGGAACACCAGUGGCGAAGGCGACUUUCUGGUCUGUAACUGACGCUGAUGUGCGAAAGCGUGGGGAUCAAACAGGAUUAGAUACCCUGGUAGUCCACGCCGUAAACGAUGAGUGCUAAGUGUUAGGGGGUUUCCGCCCCUUAGUGCUGCAGCUAACGCAUUAAGCACUCCGCCUGGGGAGUACGACCGCAAGGUCGAAACUCAAAGGAAUUGACGGGGACCCGCACAAGCGGCGGAGCAUGUGGUUUAAUUCGAAGCAACGCGAAGAACCUUACCAAAUCUUGACAUCCUUUGACCCUUCUAGAGAUAGAAGUUUCCCCUUCGGGGGACAAAGUGACAGGUGGUGCAUGGUUGUCGUCAGCUCGUGUCGUGAGAUGUUGGGUUAAGUCCCGCAACGAGCGCAACCCUUAAGCUUAGUUGCCAUCAUUAAGUUGGGCACUCUAAGUUGACUGCCGGUGACAAACCGGAGGAAGGUGGGGAUGACGUCAAAUCAUCAUGCCCCUUAUGAUUUGGGCUACACACGUGCUACAAUGGACAAUACAAAGGGCAGCGAAACCGCGAGGUCAAGCAAAUCCCAUAAAGUUGUUCUCAGUUCGGAUUGUAGUCUGCAACUCGACUACAUGAAGCUGGAAUCGCUAGUAAUCGUAGAUCAGCAUGCUACGGUGAAUACGUUCCCGGGUCU